GAUGAACGCUGGCGGCGUGCCUAAUACAUGCAAGUCGAGCGAACGGACGAGAAGCUUGCUUCUCUGAUGUUAGCGGCGGACGGGUGAGUAACACGUGGAUAACCUACCUAUAAGACUGGGAUAACUGCGGGAAACCGCAGCUAAUACCGGAUAAUAUUUUGAACCGCAUGGUUCAAAAGUGAAAGACGGUCUUGCUGUCACUUAUAGAUGGAUCCGCGCUGCAUUAGCUAGUUGGUAAGGUAACGGCUUACCAAGGCAACGAUGCAUAGCCGACCUGAGAGGGUGAUCGGCCACACUGGAACUGAGACACGGUCCAGACUCCUACGGGAGGCAGCAGUAGGGAAUCUUCCGCAAUGGGCGAAAGCCUGACGGAGCAACGCCGCGUGAGUGAUGAAGGUCUUCGGAUCGUAAAACUCUGUUAUUAGGGAAGAACAUAUGUGUAAGUAACUGUGCACAUCUUGACGGUACCUAAUCAGAAAGCCACGGCUAACUACGUG
rnacentral:rRNA from 1 species